rnacentral:rRNA from 1 species
AUUGAACGCUGGCGGAAUGCUUUACACAUGCAAGUCGAACGGCAGCACGGGGGCAGCCCUGGUGGCGAGUGGCGAACGGGUGAGUGAUACAUCGGAACGUGCCCGGUCGUGGGGGAUAACGUAGCGAAAGUUACGCUAAUACCGCAUACGAUCUGAGGAUGAAAGCGGGGGACCUUCGGGCCUCGCGCGAUCGGAGCGGCCGAUGUCAGAUUAGGUAGUUGGUGGGGUAAAGGCCUACCAAGCCGACGAUCUGUAGCUGGUCUGAGAGGACGACCAGCCACACUGGGACUGAGACACGGCCCAGACUCCUACGGGAGGCAGCAGUGGGGAAUUUUGGACAAUGGGCGCAAGCCUGAUCCAGCCAUUCCGCGUGCAGGACGAAGGCCUUCGGGUCGUAAACUGCUUUUGUACGGAACGAAAAGGCUCUGGCUAAUACCUGGGGCUCAUGACGGUACCGUAAGAAUAAGCACCGGCUAACUACGUG